rnacentral:rRNA from 1 species
CCAAUAGCGUAUAUUAAAGUUGUUGCAGUUAAAAAGCUCGUAGUUGAAUUUCGGGGUCAGUAGGUUGGUCAUGCCACUGGUAUGUACUGGUCUCACUGAUUCCUCCUUCCUGAUGAGCCGUAAUGCCAUUAAUUUGGUGUUGCGAGGAAUCUGGACUGUUACUUUGAAAAAAUUAGAGUGUUUAAAGCAGGCUAACGCUUGAAUACAUUAGCAUGGAAUAAUGAAAUAGGACGCUCGAUCCUAUUUUGUUGGUUUCUAGGAUUGACGUAAUGAUUAAUAGGGAUAGUUGGGGGCAUUAGUAUUCAAUUGUCAGAGGUGAAAUUCUUGGAUUUAUUGAAGACUAACUACUGCGAAAGCAUUUGCCAAGGAUGUUUUCAUUAAUCAAGAACGAAAGUUAGGGGAUCGAAGACGAUCAGAUACCGUCGUAGUCUUAACCAUAAACUAUGCCGACUAGGGAUCGGAUGAUGUUAAUUUUUUAAUGACUCAUUCGGCGCCUUACG